GAACAACUGAUAAACAUGGAGUGUAUAAGCUGGAAAUACCUCAUGUUGAUGGAGUUGAUUGUGUGGAUGGCAUGGCAAUUGAGUCACUCUGCCAAGCAAGCCUACUAGAAAGCUCAUCUUCAGCAUGCAGUGUUCCUGGUUUAAAGACUGCAACAAAUGAAAUAUCAGUAAAAUCAAAACAAGAUAGUCUUUGCAUUUACAGCUUGAAAGCAAUGAGUUAUAGACCUUCAGAAAGAAAUGCUACUUUGUGUGGAAAUCACAAACAGGAUUCGCAAAAAUCUAAAGCUCUCGGCUCUUCGAAGUUCUUUCUCCCAUACUACUUCCCCCCUUAUGGCUUCUUUUGGCCUCCUUUGCCUCAAUUUCCUCCUCUAUUUCCAAGCCCACCAUCAUCUUUUCCAUUUCCGCCUUUAUUUCCAAGCCCACCAUCUUUGCCCUUUCCUUUUCCUCCUCUAUUUCCAAGCCCACCACCAUCUUUUCCAUUUCCUCCUUUAUUUCCAAGCCCACCAUCUUUGCCCUUUCCUUUCCCACCUCUGCCUCAGUUUCCGCCGGUGCCGUCACUUUUUCAGCCGCCACCUCCUCCUGCUUUCAGUCUGGGAGAUCCAAGAACUUGGAUUCCUAAUUUUCCCACACUAGCUCCUCCACCUCCCCCUGCAUUUAAUCUAAGGGACCCCAGGACU
rnacentral:lncRNA from 1 species